AUUGAACGCUGGCGGCAUGCCUUACACAUGCAAGUCGAACGGUAACAGGGAGCUUGCUCCGCUGACGAGUGGCGAACGGGUGAGUAAUGUAUCGGAACGUACCUUUCAGUGGGGGAUAACGUAGCGAAAGUUACGCUAAUACCGCAUAUUCUGUGAGCAGGAAAGCAGGGGAUCGCAAGACCUCGCGCUGAUUGAGCGGCCGAUAUCAGAUUAGCUAGUUGGUGAGGUAAAGGCUCACCAAGGCGACGAUCUGUAGCGGGUCUGAGAGGAUGAUCCGCCACACUGGAACUGAGACACGGUCCAGACUCCUACGGGAGGCAGCAGUGGGGAAUUUUGGACAAUGGGGGCAACCCUGAUCCAGCCAUGCCGCGUGAGUGAAGAAGGCCUUCGGGUUGUAAAGCUCUUUCGGCCGGGAAGAAAUCGCAUGGGUUAAUACCCUGUGCGGAUGACGGUACCGGCAUAAGAAGCACCGGCUAACUACGUGCCAGCCGCCGCGGUAAAAC
rnacentral:rRNA from 1 species